rnacentral:lncRNA from 1 species
UCACGGUUUCAUAACUAAAUCUCCUCUUGUGAAGAUUUCGAGAUCAUUGUUGUUUGUCUUGCAGGAUCCGAUCGCUGUGUUGGCGGCUGACAAGAUUCCCGAGUUUCUCACCCAAACUAGAGCGGAAAGCUACGGGUGCCGAUUUUCUUUUUCCCGUUAUUUUCUAAUAUAAAAAUAAAAUAAAAAUACAGUCAAAAUAUCGCAGAAAAGUCAAAAUAUCGGGUAAUUGUCGCGAAAUAUCAUCACACGAGACGUAUCGUCAAAUUCUCUUUCUCGGCAAUUUCUCGCGUUUCAAUUUGGUUUGAAAAUCCGAAACGUUUCGCGUUUCGACAUGCGUUUCGGCGUGUAUUUUGGUUUCCGAGGAUUUUCAGAUUAACCGAGUCGUCUGCGGCAGCGUUUCGAUUUCGUUUCCGAGAACCUGAAACGUUUCGGCGCAUAUCAAGGAGUUUCGGCUGUUAUAUCCAUUUUCUCCUUUUCUUGAUAUUUGUUUCUGCGAUUUCCAACUUCUUGUGGCUGCGCUGCUCCCAUGACUAUGUCCCAAUUUCGUAAGAUCCUCCACUUUUACUAUUGGCUUUUUGUUAUCUUUGUGAAUUGAUUUGUUCUCAUGUGUAUCUAUCAGUUUGGGGGACUGUUUGCCGACAUACUACUUCUGUUUUCGCUGAAUGAAAAAAUUGAUGGCCAGAGAAAGGAAAGAGAAUUCUGGAAUUGACAAACGAAUGAAGAAGAAUAGAAUAGGGAGAAGCUAAUGAGAUGGGGUGUGAAAGAGAGAACUAAUAGAACCAAGAUGGCUGACGAAGAGGAAAAUUGAUGGCAGGCAAGAGCAAUUGAAGGAUGAUGGCAAAGCAAAAUCUCAGAGAAGAGAGAAUUUUGGAAUUGAAGGAAGAGGAAGAAGCUAUGAGGCAGGGUGCGGAAGAGAAAAUAACUGAAGGUUUUAUAUUAGCGUUUUAUCAUCUUCUUUCUCUAUGAGUUCUUUCCUAAGUUCUACUUUCAUCAUCAUCAUAUAUAUAAAUAAAUAGAUAAGUCACUGAAUAAAUGAAUGACUUGGCUUAAAUCAAUGACUUGGCGAGAACAAUACAGUAGGUUAAGUCGUUUAUUUUUGAAAAGAGGUUAAGUCUUUCAGGCUUAAAAAUCAAUAAAAGUUUAGAAAAUUACUUUAUCAAGUCAAAAUAGCGGAAGACCAUAACUUCUAAAAGCCGGAGGUGCAACAGAGUCGUCAUCAAUGCGUAACAAUGGCAACCAUCGUCUACUCUAGUCUUCUGAGUUAUUCCAAAUGCGUUUGGGGUUUAGGAACAAAGAAGGAGAAGGUGGUAAAUGAUAAUGGAACAAAGAAGAAGAAGACAAAACAGAGCCGGACCCAAAACAAUGACAACAACAAGCGGAAGGCAAUGGAUCAAAUUCAUACCCUGAAUUCAUUCUCAAUCCUGUACUUAUAUGGUAGACAAAUGCUGGAUUUUGAGGAUAUGACUUCUCACUAUAGGUCUUUAAGGCAUAGGAAACUAAAGGAAACGUGAAUUUUGCCUUCUUUCCGUUUCAAUUAGGAUUGUCAUUGUAGUGCUCAUUUCUUGCUGCAUUUCCGUUCAUGGUACUACAUUUUCCUCAACCAAAAGGAGCAACUAAGUUUAUUAGAAGAAUUUGUUUUGGUUAACACCAAGUCACUGAUUAAAUCAAUGACUUGGCGAGAACAAUACAGUAGGUUAAGUCAUUUAUUCUUUUAUUUUUAUUUUUGAAAAGAGGUUAAGUCUUUCAGGCUUAAAAAUCAAUAAAAGUUUAGAAAAUUACUUUAUCAA